rnacentral:rRNA from 1 species
CCUACGGGAGGCAGCAGUGAGGAAUAUUGGUCAAUGGUCGGGAGACUGAACCAGCCAAGCCGCGUGAGGGAGGAAGGUACAGAGUAUCGUAAACCUCUUUUGUCAGGGGACAAAGACUGGGACGCGUCCCCGGAUGAGUGUACCUGAAGAAAAAACGUCGGCUAACUCCGUUCCAGCCGCCGCGGUAAUACGGAGGAUACGGUGGUUAUCCGGAUUUGUUGGGUUUAAAGGGUGCGUAGGCGGGUUGUCAAGUCAGCGGUAAAAUCGUGGAGCGAAACUCCAUCCAGCCGUUGAAACUGAUGAUCUUGAGUGGGCGAGAAGUAUGCGGAAUGCGUGGUGUAGCGGUGAAAUGCAUAGAGAUCACGCAGAACACCGAUUGCGAAGGCAGCAUACCGGCGCCCGACUGACGCUGAAGCACGAAAGCGUGGGUAUCGAACAGGAUUAGAUACCCCAGUAGUC